GACCUACACCACAGCUCCAGGCAACACCAGAUUCUUAACCCACUGAGCGAGGCCAGGGAUUGAACCUGCUUCCUCAUGAAUACUAGUCAGGUUUGUUAACAACUGAGCCGCUACAGGAACUCCUUUUAAAAUCUUUUUGAAGCAUAACUUACAUACAAGAAAAUAUACAUAUUUUAUGAGUAUGAUUCGAUGAAUUUUAAUAAAUUCUGUGCAAUCAUGAAGCUAUCACCCCAGGCAAGGUAAAGCGCUCUUCCAUUCCUCAUGAAGAUCCCUUGUAACCUUUGUAAUCAAUCUUUCCAACCCCAGUCCUAGGUAACCUGCUGAAAUUCUAUACCUAUGGAUUAGAUUUUUUUCUUUUCUAGAAUUUCAUGUAAUGAAAUUAAACAUAUAGAAUCUUUGUCUCUGUCUUUCUGCAAUCAAUAUAAUGUUUUUGAGAUUCACCCAUAUUGUUGCACGAAUCAAUAGUUUGUUUCUUCUCAAUGCUCAGUAGUAUUUAAUUGUUUGAAUAUACCACACAUAUUGGCUUAUUCACUUAUUGUGAGCAUUUAUUUCCAUUUCAGAUUAUUAUGAAUAAAUGGUUAUAAGCAUUUGUGUACAGUUCUCUAUAUAAACACAUUUUUUUUUCUUUUGGAUAAAUAGGAAUGGAAUUUCUUGGUCUUGUGGUAACUAUAUUUUCAGCUUGAGAAGAAAUGGACAAAAUGUUCUCUAAAGUUGUAUCACUGUUCACUUCCACCAGCAAUGUACCACAUCCUCACCAACUGUUGUUACGGACAAUCUAUUUAAUUUUAACCAUUCUAGGAGGUGUGUAUACUAGGGAAAGAUGCUGCUUUAGGUAGCUUUUUUAUCCCCCUUGGGAUUAGGAGCCCAAUAAUCCAUUACCUAACAUUGAAAGGAAUUCAUCUUGAAAUGAAUCCUGUGACUCAAGUGUAUUAGCUCUUCUUUCAGGGCUUAGAUCAUUUGAAAUUUUGAUAAGCAUUUUUUUUUUUUACCUUUGUACUUGCAAUUGGUUAAUAUAUUAAGCAAAAGUGACCUACACCAAAUUUCUGAAGUGUGCUAAUGAAAAAACAUAACCUUUGGAUAUUGAUUAUUCAACCAGUCAAAAAUUAUAUUCAACUUACUAUAUCAUUAUCUAUUUCAUUUCUCUAUAAUUUUCUGUUGAAAAUGAGAACAUUACUCAAAAAUUCAUUGGACGUUUUCAACUUUCUGGCUACUACUCUGAGGAUAGCAUCAUCAGGUAAAAAAUUUAGAAGCCCUGCCAUAAUAAUUUUCAUAAUUUUUAAAAAGGCUUCUAGAAAUAAAGAUGAAGAAGUACAUUUGAAUAUCUCAACCUACCAGUCUAUAAAUCCUGCCAAUUUAAAGAAGUACACAGUACAUGAGGCCAUAAUCUCUAUUUUUCUCUUUUUCUCAAAAAGCAUUCAUUCAAUAGUUUUCUAGGAAGCAAAGUCAAAUAGGACUUAAUAACUCUUAUUAGGGAGUUUAAAUUGACAGAAGACCAAGUACAGACAUUGUUUUAGCAAAUGAAGAUGGAUUCAUUUUUCUAAAGAGUCCCAAAGGAAGCUAGUGAAGUAAGGAUACACGGCACAUUUUCCAGGGCAGAUGGAAGUGCAAAUUUCACACUCCAAGAUUUUACAAUUAUAGCUUAUAAUGGCUACGUGAAUGAAGAUUAACAUCAGCCUUCAGGAAACCCAGUAGUCUUAGUCUUAUAUAAGCCAGAGCAGGACUGAGCAUGGGCUACUCAGAAUACCUGAGAUCAUCAAACUUAUUGUUGUAUAAUAUACUAUAGUAUUACUGAGUGCAAUUCAAUAUAGUGCACUCAAGCAUCUCCCUCAACUUCUAUAGGCAGACGUGAGUUUAGUCCAUGUAUAUUCCAGUGGGUUAAGACUAGGGUCAGUUGCUCUGAUGUUUCCAGGAGACAGACAAACCGGGCUUUAGACUGGCUGUAGGGCUUCUCCCCUCCACCCAUGUAGGUAAAAUACCUGUUAUCUCCCUCCCUUAAAAUGUUGAGCUAUCUUUCUGAAACUACCCUUCUGGAAUACCCUUUGUUAAGUAUGAUUUUCAAAUGUGGCCUAUAAUGUUUUCCCCCAUGAUAUUUAUUUUGCUAAUCAUAUUGUGUUCAAUUAAUUUAUUAUUAAAAGGUAGUUUAUAUGAGUUCUUUGAUAUUUAAAAUUUAUUUUAUAUUACCAGUAUGUAUAAAGACGAAGCUUGUCAACUGUCUUGACCAACACUUCUUUCAAGCUUUUUUUUUUUCUUUUUUUGUCUUUUUGCCUCUUCUUGAGUUGCUCCCAGGGCAUAUGGAGGUUCCCAGGCUAGGGGUCUAAUCGGAGGCUGUAGCCGCCUGCCUACACCAGAGCCACAGCAACACGGGAUCCGAACCGUGCCUGCAACCUACACCACAGCUCACGGCAACGCCGGAUCCUUAGCCCACUGAGCAAGGCCAGGGAUUUGAACCUGCAACCUCAUGGUUCCUAGUCAGAUUCAUUAACCACUUGCCACGACGGGAACUCCCAAGCUCUCUAAUUUUUAGUCUUUAUCAUUUACUGAGAGAAAAAAAUUCUAAUUGAUAUUGUAAAUUUCUAAAUUUUUUUGUAAUUCUGUCAACAUACAGUUUAUAAAUUUUAAGACUAUGUCAUUAAAUGUUGUGUUAUUUAAAAUUGUUAUAGUUUCAUGCUAAAUUGUUCUAUUUUCAACUUUCUAAUGAUCCCCCCUACCCCAGUAAGGCUCUUGGCCUUUGCUGAGACCAGCUCAGCAGGAUGGGGCUGAAGAACGGGUGCUGUGAAACUUAAGGAAAAAAGUUAAGGUAACACUAGACACAGAGACAUUUAUUUUAAGUAAAGGUGGGAACCGGGGGACUCAAGGUUUCAGGGAUCAAGAGCACCACCUUAAGAAACCACACCGCUUUUAUUGUGUUCUUUAUGAUUUUGUCAAGUGAGAAGGAAGUUGUAGAUGCAGGAUAUAGGUGUUUUUUUUGUUUUGUUUUGUUUUGUUUUUUUAAGUUAUUUUAAAAGUCACAUAGCCGGUUGCUGAUUAAGCUUUUAUUCUGACCUUUAGGCAUUUAACAAUCAUUAGCAUUUGAGGAAGCUUGGCAUCAGCUGUCUAUGCAUAGCAUCUACAGAAUCAUCACUGUGCUUCUGCAGACUGCGUGCCUAUCUGCAGCAAUCCAGUGUGCCUAGGUUUGCACCUCGGUUCUCCUUGCUAAUGCAUAUCCUGCUAACUACCCCUCAUAAACCCCUUGGGGCCAUGAGGCUCCUCUUUCUUUUAUUCUUAAGAGGACGUAUCAUGCUGUGCAAACGGUGUGCCAAACGGGUACCUAGUCUUAAGUCCUCCUUCAGCUGACCCUAUGAAUAACUUACGCCUUUAGGUCUUUGUUCUUAAGCACUAUGACUGUUUUCCAAGCAGGAAGAUGGGGUAAAGUAAAGCAGGACAAGUUGGAGUUUUCAGCAAAGAAGCUAAGAAAAUGUUGUAGAAACAUGCCUCGAGACAGGCCUUAAAGUCUGUUUUGUGCAAUUCUUGUCGACAGCAUAUUUGCAGUAUAUGUUUAAUCCACCUGAUGCUCAUCAGAUUACUUGGUGUGGGAGUGGACUGGGGAAGGAGGAGCACUCUUUCCUGGGAGGCAGGGGCUGAGUAAGGUACCUUGUGACAGAGACAGCAGGGACAUGUGGGAGACAGCUCCAGACUUCAAUUUUUUGAGGCUUAGAGAAGGAAAAUUUUGUUAUCGUUCUUAGGCAUCCAUGAUGAUUGCUUUUUUUCCUCACUGAGAUUAUAAUUCUUUGAAAACUCAGCUGGAGAUAAGACGGGAAAGGUUGGGGGUCAGGAGAAAUAGGGAAUACUGUCCAGACUGCGGAAAGUUCUCUACAGCCAAACAGCAUCAAACACUCCAUCCCUGACAAGAAGGGACAUUGCACAGACAAGAAACAGUAGGGAAAGGGGGUUGAAGAAAAAUACUUUGGGGCCUUCGUCUUCUCUCAAAUAUUAGCUCCUUGUGCUACUGCUUUGGGGCUGGGCUAUUUUGUGUUCUGAAAGAGAAAAAAAAACAAAACCUCACUGGAACUCUCCUCACUCACUGUUCUGUGGACUUUACAAAGGGGUGGGGGAAAGGGGAUUUUAAACAUUGAGUUUCAUCUUUGUACUCAAGUGGGGGAAAAAAAAAACAACCAUAAUUUUUCAAGUAGCUAGGCAACAGGAGAAACAUCUUGUAUAUAAUUCUGGAAAGAGUAGGGCAGUACACACACGCUAUACACUCCCUCAUUUCCUUUCCACAUUUUUCCUUUUCUUGCUGCCACGCUUCUCUCAUCUUUGAAUUCCUUCCACUAUGUCACCACACAGAGAGCCUGGACCUCUUAACCUACAAACCAAGACGCUCUCUAUUCUGUGUGAGCUGUCCCUUGGAAGUAUGUAAAUCUACAAUAUGAUUUAAAUAGUAUGUUAAUCCUUCAUGUUUAUUGUCUCAUUUAAUCCCCCCAUCAACCUAUGGUUUAGGUAUCACUUUACAUGUAUGUGUAACUGGGCCCCUAAGCUGUACAGUGGGGGGAAAAA
rnacentral:lncRNA from 1 species